ACUAAAUGAUUGCCUACGUGUAAACGCUUCUAAAAGCGUCUGCCACAGAGCAAGCGCUCAAUAGGGUUACCUGUGUCACUCUCAAUAUUAAUAACUAAAUGCCAAGAGUGGUGGUUUCUGGAAGUAAAACAUGAACUCUGCCCUCCGCUCAGAAUCUCCUGAGGAAAAGAAACAUGUAAACAAUAGUUCUUAGGGCGGCCAGUAUUAUUAAAACGGUGUGUAUGAGGAGUUUGACAAACUCACCUGGAGGGGAGGACUUUGCAGUAUGGUGUCCCACCUCUGCCUUCUGAGGUAGAUAGCAGGUCUGGGAUAGGACCAGAAAUUCUGCGCUUCUAACAAGCUUCCAAGGAUGUGGGUGCCGAUGAUCCACAGACCUUCCUUUGUGCAGCAGGCCAUUAAACAACCAAAGCACCUUGGGCUUCAAAAAAUAAUGGUGCCACUCAAUGCCCUGAUUCCUUCUCUACAACAUGGAUGGACCCUGCCCAAAGAGCCUCCUGGGAACAAUCAGAUGGACACCAAUUCACUUAAAAAAUCCUUGGAGAAAUAACCCUCUUAUCUGGAAAUCUCCUCACCUUUUAAGACCACACACAAAAGUAACAACAACAAAACCUACAGAAAGAAGACACAGAAGUUCUCAGGCCAACCAGAAAAGACAUCUCAAAGUGUUUAUAGGGAGGCUCCCAUUCCAUGGAAGUCUCCAAGAACUCAUACUGUACAGGUCAUGCUCAGGGUGACCUGUGGGAAACAGGCAUCAUUUUUCCUGGGGAUACCUUAUUGCAUAAAUGGUCACUAAAUUUCUAAGUGCCCUAAAACUUCCCACACUCUCUUAGCCUCUCUGGCCAUCUGCAAGAAAACAAAAAUGCCAAGACUGCCUUCAUCCCAGCUGGUCCUUGAUGGGUGCUCUGAGCUACCUGGCCUUUAUGAGCUGUUGGGAAAGGACAUGAGUGGAGCCUGGAUCUUGAAGAAGAGUGGGACCAAAUCUCCAAGCCCGUACCCCCUGCCCCCAGCUGUACCCCUACUGACCACGAAACCCUGUGCAAUCAUGGAGGUUCUCUGAGCCUCAGUUUCCCCAUUUGUAAAAUGGGGCAGAGUUUCUCGCCUUGUGAGAUUCUUGCAAAGACUUAGCUAAGAUCACUGUAUGAAGGCAUCUGGGACAGAGCCUAUACCUCACUGGCACUCAGUCAAUGUUAGCCGAGUCUCAGUUCUCCUGUCCUCCACAAAGGGCUCUGCUCCAUCAUGGCUGAUGUCACCUGCCACAGGCUACAUUGGACUUACUCUGACACCCCUACAUUCCUGAGGCUCCAGUAAUCCUAAAUACUUUUUUCCUCUAAAGAAACUGCCCCGUUCCCCAUGAGAGGAAACACAACAUCUCUAAAGGGACUUUUUCUUCAGAAUCAGCCAGCCUGAGAGAGCUUGGGGCUAUACCUGAUUUUUCUGGCCCUGGCAUCUGGGACUCUAUACCUGUCCCCUGCAGGGUCUCAGGUACCAAUCAAUGGCAAGAACCCAGCUAACAAAGGGUCAGCCGACAUACCACAACAGGACCCUUCCACUCUGAUGGGGAAGGUUUUCGUCAACAAAGGUUCUGUCUGUGCUGCUGCUGAAUUGUCAGGCUUCAUGAUAGACACAUUCCCUGGGUCUAGAUUUAUGGUUGCAACUCAAUAAUGCCAGCUUUGCAGCUGUGGGCUCAGAGGUGGCCCACCCCUUCCCAGAAAGGCAGGUUGUCAUAACCCCAAAAUAGGUAUUGGACACUCUGCUUCAGCCCUGGUGAAGGAGCAAGGGAUCUAGAACACUUCCACCCUCUAUCCCCUCUUCAUUUUGCCCUGAGCUCUGACCCUAAUGGAAGACCUGCAGCCUCUGGGUCCCUGAAGCCAUCUCAGGGCCUGAGCACCAGUGGGCCGGCCAGAGAAGAGUGGGCUCAUGGGGCUGGACCUUGGCAACCUCUGAGAAGCCCCUACCAGCUCCCCAGCCACUUUUUGGGAAGGGCCAGGAGUUGGAAAAUCACAUGGUGUUCUGGAAGUGAUUCCCUUGAUAUUUUCUGAGCUGUAAAGACAAGCCGGCUUCUGGGAAAGACUCCUGGGUCUGUAGGCCUAAAGUUCUCCAGAAUGCUACCUUUUCAGGAGCAGAAAGAAUGAGUGAUACAUUCCUGGGAUGGAUCGUAGCAGGUAUGACCUAUGGAACAGGACAAAAGCAAAUGAACAGCACUUCAUUAAGAUCCCCUGAGUAGCUAAGAGUAUGUGUAGGGUGGGGGAGGAGUCGAGGAAUGAGGCCAACAGAGAAAAUGCAUUCGUGUCAAAGGACCGACUUCCUUUUUCAAUCCAAAGGAAUUCCAUCUAAGCUCCCACCAGCCAGAGAACGGAAGUGUGUUGUGCUGGAGCAGUUUAGGCAGUGUCGGAAUUAAUCUUUUAAAAACUGUCUCGGAUGGCUCGGCCACCUUGUGCGAGAUUCGUAAACCGUGUGCAAAACUCAGACUUGUGCAGGCAACCAGAGAAGGUAAGAACCUGUCUUCUGCACGCAGGGCUUCCCCUGCCUGAUUUGUGCUUUGUCUAACCCCAGGAUCUCUCUUCUUCCCAGCGGCUCUUUUUAAAGCCUGGUGAAGGCAGGCGAGGCCAAAUUGGCUACAGGGUAGAACCCGCUAUUCUCCCUCUUGGUGAGCUGCUGAGCAUCUAUUUCAAAUACCUCUAAAGGAUGGACAGCCUGAGGGCUGAGUUCCCGAAUGCUUUUGAUGCUGGGCUCUUGAAGAUUCUAUGUCUGACUUUCAGAAUGAAAGCAGAUGCAGUAACCCCACCCAGGCACAUUGCAGUCACUGGCUGGCAAGGGAGGAGGGGUAUUAGCAAAAAGUAGUGCAAAGGUAGGGAGGUGGGAUUUGGCACUAGGUAGAGCACGUAGAGUCGGUGGGAAGGAGGCAUUGGCAUAAAGCGAAGGUAGAGAAUAUUCACCCUCUGGGGAUAGGUUACUCCGUAUAGAUGACCACAAAUAAGGAACAAAAACACCUGGGUCAAAUCCUUCCCAGAGUAUGCCAGCUCCCUGCCAGGGUCUGUAUUCAGGACCAAGGUGUAGGUGCUGAUUUAGCUGAAGGUCCCUGUCAUUCCCCCAGCCCCCAAUCCCAGAGGUCACAUGCUCAUUGUCCCACUUAAGCCAAAUUUUUUUUUCUUGCCUUAAGCCAACACAUCCCCAAAACAUAUCCUAUAAAAGUAGAUUUCAUAAAGAAGAUAAAUAUUUUGAAUCAAGAAGAGGAUGAAAACAAGUUGUAAACAUGUAACUGAAACAAAAAUACACAUCAGUUCACUUACAGAACCAAACAGGGUUACAUCGAAUCAUUUAAAAUGAAAGCAAAGGAAAACUCUUCUCGGGAGCUCUUAAAUUUAGGAAAAGAAUCACUGUAGCAUGCUCACCUUGAACCAGGGAUUGGAUAUUGUGGUUCUUGUACAAAGGAAAAUCUGGGAG